rnacentral:misc_RNA from 1 species
GAUGAAGAACGCAGCGAAAUGCGAUACGUAAUGUGAAUUGCAAAUUCAGUGAAUCAUCGAGUCUUUGAACGCACAUUGCGCCCCCUGGUAUUCCGGGGGGCAUGCCUGUCCGAGCGUCAUUGCUGCCCUCAAGCACGGCUAGUGUGUUGGGCCCCGUCCUCCGAUCCCGGGGGACGGGCCCGAAAGGCAGCGGCGGCACCGCGUCCGGUCCUCGAGCGUAUGGGGCUUUGUCACCCGCUCUGUAGGCCCGGCCGGCGCUUGCCGAUCAACCCAAAUUUUUAUCCAGGUUGACCUCGGAUCAGGUAGGGAUACCCGCUGAACUUAAGCAUAUCAAUAAGCGGAGGA